CCUACGGGGGGCAGCAGUCGAGAAUCAUUCACAAUGGGGGAAACCCUGAUGGUGCGACGCCGCGUGGGGGAAUGAAGGUCUUCGGAUUGUAAACCCCUGUCAUGUGGGAGCAAAUUAAAAAGAUAGUACCACAAGAGGAAGAGACGGCUAACUCUGUGCCAGCAGCCGCGGUAAUACAGCGGUCUCAAGCGUUGUUCGGAAUCACUGGGCGUAAGGCGUGCGUAGGCUGUUUCGUAAGUCGUGUGUGAAAGGCGCGGGCUCAACCCGCGGACGGCACAUGAUACUGCGAGACUAGAGUAAUGGAGGGGGAACCGGAAUUCUCGGUGUAGCAGUGAAAUGCGUAGAUAUCGAGAGGAACACUCGUGGCGAAGGCGGGUUCCUGGACAUUAACUGACGCUGAGGCACGAAGGCCAGGGGAGCGAAAGGGAUUAGAUACCCUUGUAGUC
rnacentral:rRNA from 1 species